GUUCACCAGUAUGCUUUCUCAUGUGAAUUCGACAGGCGCUUUCUCGUUGAAACUCUUAAUCACAAAAAACACAUUUAAAAUGUUUUUCCCCAGUAUGAAUUCUCAUGUGUUCAUUAUAGUUGCCUUUCUGACCAAAUUCCUUAUCACAUACAUCACAUUUGUAAGGUUUUUCGCUAGCAUGUGUUCUCAUGUGAAUUUGAUAAAUAUUUUUUUGGCAAAAUUCCUUUCCACAAAUAUCACAUUUGUAAGGUUUUCCACCAGUAUGGAUUUUCUUGUGUAUAUUAUAAUUGCCUUUAUGACCAAAUACUU
rnacentral:lncRNA from 1 species